ACCAAAGCUGAGAAUGUAUUAAGAACCAAGGAUAACGAUUAAUCCAAUUCCACUGUCCCCGAGGU
rnacentral:snoRNA from 14 species